rnacentral:lncRNA from 1 species
GGCCUUGAAAUGGACUCUCUCUUCAGAGAAUGAAACUUGGUCUAGAAUCAAUGUUUACCACUCAAGAGGAAGCUCGGGCGUAGAGCGAACAUCCCAACGGCUUCUGUCUAGCGCACAGGAGCACCGCUGUCCUGAUGUUUACAAAUGAUAAUAAAACUUGAAAAUAAAGUGGUUUCAAAAGAUAAUGAAGAGAAUACAAGGGCGUUGAUCAAGUGAUUGCACAGGAAAUUGGUGACCAUGGGUCCAACUAUUUGAGCACAAGGUAAAUAAUGCAUGGA